GUUUGAUCCUGGCUCAGGAUGAACGCUGGCGGCGUGCUUAACACAUGCAAGUCGAACGAUCCUUCGGGGUAGUGGCGGACGGGUGAGUAACGCGUGGGAAUCUGCCCUCAGGAGGGGGAUAACGGCUGGAAACGGCCGCUAAUACCCCAUAUGCCGAGAGGUGAAAUGAAUUUCGCCUGAGGAUGAGCCCGCGUCUGAUUAGCUAGUUGGUGGGGUAAAGGCCUACCAAGGCAACGAUCAGUAGCUGGUCUGAGAGGAUGAUCAGCCACACUGGGACUGAGACACGGCCCAGACUCCUACGGGAGGCAGCAGUGGGGAAUUUUCCGCAAUGGGCGAAAGCCUGACGGAGCAACGCCGCGUGAGGGAUGAAGGCCUCUGGGCUGUAAACCUCUUUUCUCAAGGAAGAAGACCUGACGGUACUUGAGGAAUAAGCCACGGCUAAUUCCGUGCCAGCAGCCGCGGUAAUACGGGAGUGGCAAGCGUUAUCCGGAAUUAUUGGGCGUAAAGCGUCCGCAGGCGGCCUUGUAAGUCUGUUGUUAAAGCGUGGAGCUCAACUCCAUUUAAGCAAUGGAAACUACAAGGCUGGAGUGUGGUAGGGGCAGAGGGAAUUCCCGGUGUAGCGGUGAAAUGCGUAGAUAUCGGGAAGAACACCAGUGGCGAAGGCGCUCUGCUGGGCCAUAACUGACGCUCAUGGACGAAAGCCAGGGGAGCGAAAGGGAUUAGAUACCCCUGUAGUCCUGGCCGUAAAUGAUGAACACUAGGUGUCGGGGGAAUCGACCCCCUCGGUGUCGUAGCCAACGCGUUAAGUGUUCCGCCUGGGGAGUACGCACGCAAGUGUGAAACUCAAAGGAAUUGACGGGGGCCCGCACAAGCGGUGGAGUAUGUGGUUUAAUUCGAUGCAACGCGAAGAACCUUACCAGGGUUUGACAUCCUGCGAACCCCUGAGAAAUCGGGGGGUGCCUUCGGGAGCGCAGAGACAGGUGGUGCAUGGCUGUCGUCAGCUCGUGUCGUGAGAUGUUGGGUUAAGUCCCGCAACGAGCGCAACCCACGUCUUUAGUUGCCAGCAUUCAGUUGGGCACUCUAGAGAGACCGCCGGUGAUAAACCGGAGGAAGGUGUGGAUGACGUCAAGUCAUCAUGCCCCUUACAUCCUGGGCUACGCACGUACUACAAUGCUACGGACAAAGGGCAGCAAGCUCGCGAGAGUUAGCAAAUCCCAUAAACCGUGGCUCAGUUCAGAUCGUAGGCUGCAACUCGCCUACGUGAAGGAGGAAUCGCUAGUAAUCGCAGGUCAGCAUACUGCGGUGAAUACGUUCCCGGGCCUUGUACACACCGCCCGUCACACCAUGGAAGUUGGCCAUGCCCGAAGUCGUUACUCCAACCCUUGUGGAGGAG
rnacentral:rRNA from 1 species